rnacentral:rRNA from 1 species
AGAGUUUGAUCCUGGCUCAGAACGAACGCUGGCGGCAUGCCUAACACAUGCAAGUCGAACGAGACCUUCGGGUCUAGUGGCGCACGGGUGCGUAACGCGUGGGAAUCUGCCCUUGGGUUCGGAAUAACUCAGAGAAAUUUGAGCUAAUACCGGAUGAUGACGAAAGUCCAAAGAUUUAUCGCCCAAGGAUGAGCCCGCGUAAGAUUAGCUUGUUGGUGGGGUAAUGGCCUACCAAGGCGACGAUCUUUAGCUGGUCUGAGAGGAUGAUCAGCCACACUGGGACUGAGACACGGCCCAGACUCCUACGGGAGGCAGCAGUGGGGAAUAUUGGACAAUGGGCGAAAGCCUGAUCCAGCAAUGCCGCGUGAGUGAUGAAGGCCUUAGGGUUGUAAAGCUCUUUUACCAGGGAUGAUAAUGACAGUACCUGGAGAAUAAGCUCCGGCUAACUCCGUGCCAGCAGCCGCGGUAAUACGGAGGGAGCUAGCGUUGUUCGGAAUCACUGGGCGUAAAGCGUGCGUAGGCGGUGACUCAAGUCAGAGGUGAAAGCCUGGAGCUCAACUCCAGAACUGCCUUUGAAACUAGGUCGCUAGAACAUCGGAGAGGUGAGUGGAAUUCCGAGUGUAGAGGUGAAAUUCGUAGAUAUUCGGAAGAACACCAGUGGCGAAGGCGGCUCACUGGACGAUUGUUGACGCUGAGGCACGAAAGCGUGGGGAGCAAACAGGAUUA